rnacentral:rRNA from 1 species
CAAUAGCGUAUAUUAAAGUUGUUGCAGUUAAAAAGCUCGUAGUUGGAUUUCUGGCAGUGUGACUCCGGCCGGCGUGAUGCCGGCUCGAGCGCGCUACCAUCCUUCUGUCAACCUUCGCGGGUUUUACCGCCCGCCCCUGGGGCUCAGAUAUUUUACCUUGAGAAAAUUAGAGUGUUUCAGGCAGGCUAUCGCCGGAAUACAUUAGCAUGGAAUAAUAAGAUAGGACCUCGGUUCUAUUUUGUUGGUUUCUAGAGCUGAGGUAAUGAUUAAUAGGGAUAGUUGGGCGAUUCGUAUUUAACUGUCAGAGGUGAAAUUCUUGGAUUUGUUAAAAGACGGACUACUGCGAAAGCAUUUGCCAAGGAUGUUUUCAUUGAUCAAGAACGAAAGUUAGGGAUCGAAGACGAUCAGAUACC